rnacentral:tRNA from 1 species
AAGUAGUAAGUUUGUAAACGUUUACUUUGAAAGUAAGAAAGGAAAAAAGAAUUUUUCACUACUUU